rnacentral:tRNA from 1 species
GGGUGGGUGGCUCAGUGGUUAGAGCCUAGGGCUUAGGAGCGAAGGGUCCCGGGUUCGAAUCUCGGAAGAGGUA